rnacentral:rRNA from 1 species
AGAGUUUGAUCCUGGCUCAGAUUGAACGCUGGCGGCAGGCCUAACACAUGCAAGUCGAGCGGAAACGACUUAACUGAACCUUCGGGGAACGUUAAGGGCGUCGAGCGGCGGACGGGUGAGUAAUGCCUAGGAAAUUGCCUUGAUGUGGGGGAUAACCAUUGGAAACGAUGGCUAAUACCGCAUAAUGCCUACGGGCCAAAGAGGGGGACCUUCGGGCCUCUCGCGUCAAGAUAUGCCUAGGUGGGAUUAGCUAGUUGGUGAGGUAAUGGCUCACCAAGGCGACGAUCCCUAGCUGGUCUGAGAGGAUGAUCAGCCACACUGGAACUGAGACACGGUCCAGACUCCUACGGGAGGCAGCAGUGGGGAAUAUUGCACAAUGGGCGAAAGCCUGAUGCAGCCAUGCCGCGUGUAUGAAGAAGGCCUUCGGGUUGUAAAGUACUUUCAGUUGUGAGGAAGGGGGUGUCGUUAAUAGCGGCAUCUCUUGACGUUAGCAACAGAAGAAGCACCGGCUAACUCCGUGCCAGCAGCCGCGGUAAU